GGAAUUCACAGCGCCGAUUUGAGCACCAGCUUGCGGGCGCUUUAUAAAUGCGGCUAAAGGCGUGGGGAUCCGCCCG
rnacentral:ncRNA from 2 species